rnacentral:rRNA from 1 species
UUAAAUUGAAGAGUUUGAUCAUGGCUCAGAUUGAACGCUGGCGGCAGGCCUAACACAUGCAAGUCGAACGGUAACAGGAAACAGCUUGCUGUUUCGCUGACGAGUGGCGGACGGGUGAGUAAUGUCUGGGAAACUGCCUGAUGGAGGGGGAUAACUACUGGAAACGGUAGCUAAUACCGCAUAACGUCGCAAGA